CUCACGCCUGCCCUACAAUGUCAUUCUAAAAAGAAACAAUCACAUCAUUGAAAUCUCAAAGCUAUGAGAUAAUGAAUGAUUAAUUGAAAACAAGGUGGAUAAAUAUGGAUUACAUUGAACAGAGUAAUCUGAAUGUUAAAGGGUUGACAUUGG